rnacentral:rRNA from 1 species
UAGGGAAUCUUCGGCAAUGGACGAAAGUCUGACCGAGCAACGCCGCGUGAGUGAAGAAGGUUUUCGGAUCGUAAAACUCUGUUGUUAGAGAAGAACAAGGACGUUAGUAACUGAACGUCCCCUGACGGUAUCUAACCAGAAAGCCACGGCUAACUACGUGCCAGCAGCCGCGGUAAUACGUAGGUGGCAAGCGUUGUCCGGAUUUAUUGGGCGUAAAGCGAGCGCAGGCGGUUUCUUAAGUCUGAUGUGAAAGCCCCCGGCUCAACCGGGGAGGGUCAUUGGAAACUGGGAGACUUGAGUGCAGAAGAGGAGAGUGGAAUUCCAUGUGUAGCGGUGAAAUGCGUAGGUAUAUGGAGGAACACCAGUGGCGAAGGCGGCUCUCUGGUCUGUAACUGACUCUGAGUCUCGAAAGCGUGGGUAGCAAACAGG